ACGUCCAUCGUCUAAUGGAUAGGACAAAGGUCUUCUAAACCUUGAGUAUAGGUUCAACUCCUAUUGGACGUA
rnacentral:tRNA from 2 species